rnacentral:rRNA from 1 species
CCUACGGGGGGCAGCAGUGAGGAAUAUUGGUCAAUGGGCGGAAGCCUGAACCAGCCAAGUCGCGUGAGGGAGUAAGGCCCUACGGGUCGUAAACCUCUUUUGCCGGGGAGCAGUGCCCAGCUCGUGAGCUGGGAGGGAGCGUACCCGGAGAAAAAGCAUCGGCUAACUCCGUGCCAGCAGCCGCGGUAAUACGGAGGAUGCGAGCGUUAUCCGGAUUUAUUGGGUUUAAAGGGUGCGUAGGCGGGCCUUCAGGCCGGCGGUAAAAUUGCGGGGCUCAACCCCGCCGAGCCGUCGGAACCGGGGGCCUUGAGUACCGGAGAAGUACGCGGAAUGCGUGGUGUAGCGGUGAAAUGCAUAGAUAUCGAGAGGAACACUCGUGGCGAAGGCGGGUUCCUGGACAUUAACUGACGCUGAGGCACGAAGGCCAGGGGAGCGAAAGGGAUUAGAUACCCGGGUAGUC